GCUUUGAAUUGAAGAAGAGUUUUAUGCAUUUCCCAAGAAAAGUUAAAAAUAAUUAAACCGCCAAGAUUAUUACUGCAUGAAAAAAUACCGAACAGAUAUAAUUUUAUCCUAGAGUUACUCCAGCAUUACCAAAUAUAUUUUUUGCCGAAAAUUAACUGUUAUAAGAAAAGCGUUCUAGAUUUGAUUCGAGCAUAUUUUUAUUGCAUAAAGCUAGUAUGCAUGUACAACUGGAAUUAUACACAAGUUCAGAAACGUAAACCGCCCUAUCCCUUACAAAAUUCCUUAUUUAUAAAAACAGCAUUAACCUCAAUUUUGGUUUUCAAAAUAUAUUUAAUUACAAACGGCAAUUGUCCAUGUCCAAAAUUAACAAAUCUACCAAUUCUUAAAAAAAAAAUCUAUAUUUUUUAAUGUUUAACAAAUCAUGUUGAUAUUUUAUUGAAUAUUUUGUGUGGUUAUCUUUUCAGAUGUCAGGAUUUUCAUCAAACUCUGCCAGUCCCUCGGGGGUGGGGAACGAUGUGGCGGGUAAAGCCGCCCUCUUCCGACCCUAUGCACUGCCCCCCUCCCCCAGUGUCAGAUACUUGGAUCGCACGAGCCCGCUCCCCCCUGUGGCUCACCGUGUGAUGUGGGACAAAAAUACCGCUGGUAUACAAGAUAUCUAAAGUGAAUGCCAAUAUAGUUCAAAGUUUCAACAUAAACAAAUUUCGCUCCAUACAUCGACUCCGUUAUUGGGAACAGGAGGAGUACGAUAGGCGGAAGUAAACCGAAAGUAGCCACGCCCACCGUGGUGAUGAAAAUAGAGGAGUACAAGAGUGGUAACCCCACGAUCUUUGCGUGGGAGAUCAGAGACAAACUCCUCAAAGAAGGAAUUUGUACACAAAGUAACCUUCCGAGUGUCAGUUCCAUCAAUAGAAUCAUUCGAAACAGGGCAGCAGAUAGAACAGCAAUGGCGUACGCAAGGAUGCUCAACAAUUCCCUCUAUCAGUUUCCACCCCCUGCUCCACCUCUGUGGAGCUCCAUGCUGUCUUUUCCAGACCCCUCGACCAUCUACAGGCCCCAACAUCGUUCCGAGGAACACACGGAGAUGUUCAAAGCUACACAAGAAUUUGAACCUGUGUGUUCCGAAGAAGAGAAAGAAAUAACCUCAAAGGAUGCAUGUACCCCCAAGGAGGAUGAGGAAACAGAAACAUCGACUUCCAAACUCAGGCGGAAUAGAACGACCUUCACCUCCCAACAGCUGGACCUCCUGGAGCAGUCAUUUCAGAAAGCCCACUACCCAGGCGUCCAGACCAGGGAGGAACUGGCCACCAAAACCAACCUGUCUGAGGCCAGAGUCCAGGUGUGGUUCUCAAAUAGGCGAGCUAAAUGGCGGCGAAGCCAAAGGUUUACUUUUCUGCAUCAAACAACCUAUCCUGUGCUGCCCGCAUUCCCAUCCAUUUCACUGUCUGAUGGAGUCGGAUUUUCUAGUUUUCAAACAGAUGCAAGGUUCAUGAACAAACCCUCUGAUAUUUCAUUCAGUGAAGAACAUGAUGUCAUUGGCAGCAAAGAAUCAGCAUUCAGGAGACUAAAAUACCCAGAGGAAAGAAAAUCUGUAUAGUGAUGUGAUCCUUAACUUUUUGUGCAAUCUCGUUUUUACAUUUUCAUAAAUGUCCAAACAAAGGGCUGGCCAUGUGCAAUAUAUUACAUUGAAUGAUUUGAUUACAUGCAUUUUUUUUCUCUAUACAUAUUUGAUGACUGAUGAUUCAUUAAUUAAAGUCUCUAUUU
rnacentral:misc_RNA from 1 species